GGCCUGUCCAAUGGAGUGUCAAGCAAAUCACAGACUGAGGUGGUUUACACAUUGGUUCUAUAAUUAUUUAAUGAGUUCAUACCUUAGGUGCUGGGGAUGAGAUGAAAGGCUUUUCUCUAGAGUGAUGGGGGGCUGUCUCCUCAGAACUAACUCCCUGGCCAGUGGUCAAACAAGAAUUGGCUUGCUAGCUCCACCCUGGAAGAAUUGUGUAAAAGGCCUCUAGAGUUCAAGCUUUCACUUUUCUCUUGCCUCUGACCAUUCUGAUGUUUCCUCUGAGACACACUGGCAGGCUGUCCGUGAUGGGGCUCUGCUCAGAAGACCCCCCCUCCUCUGCUGAGCCUCCCUGGCCCUGGGAUAAAGCAGUCUCCUUCUCAGCUUGCAUCGAUGAGCGGGGCUGCCUGGAGCAGAGCUGUUGACCCAGGAAGGCAGCAAAGUGUGGGUGGAUGAUGUAUGUGAAAACACACAGUGAGACCUGCCCACCAGGGCACCAGGUAGGUUCUAAAGUGAUGCUGCUUAUUCAUUCAUGCUACAAUUAUUUAUUGAGUGUCUACUGUGGUGCUGGGAGUUGAGUGCCUAUUAUGAUUCAGCAAAGAAGAAAUCAGGAAUACAGAGAUAAUAAAGUUCAAUUCCAACCCUCAAGUGGCUUAUGGCCUUCAGGGAGAAACUCAAACAACGAUUAUAGAAAAAGGAAAUUGCACCACUACUGAUGCUAUAUGCAAAAAUGCAGUUAUGAGUAUAGAAGCAUCUUCCAUUGGCCUGAACUCAGAGAAGUCUUCAGAGAUAAAGCAUGUGAAGGCUAUUGACAGGUAACCAGGUCUGACUGGAUUGCACUGUUCUUCUCUGUGUCAUCUGCAGCUGAACAGGCAGCCUGACAUGAGGCUCCUGUUCCAGGGCUUAAAUCUCUGUUGAGGCUCCCAACUCCUGGGCCAUUUGCCUCCUGAAAGUUCAGGAUCCCUGGGAAUGCAUGGCAAUUAAAUAGAGUCAGGAUAUAAGGUCCUGCCCACCCAGAGAGCUGUUAAGCAGGGUCUGGACAGCUGAGUCACAGGGGGCAGCAGAGACAGUGUGAGCCACCCACACUAUUGCACCCACCAUGUUGCAGCUCAAUCACUUGGAUUCUCACCCCUGGUUCCAAAAGACCCGCUUCCCAGCAACUCCCUUUGCAGGAAGCCAGGGCAAAUAAAAGGGUGCUUCCCUUUCUUUCCUGCCCUUGGGGAAUAACGAUUGCUCUGCACAGGAAACACUGAAACCACUCUGUCAUUCAGCCCUUCUGAAAAAAACUGCCAACCAAGCUGGAGUUGGGUCUUGGAUCUCCUUUAGAUCUAGAAGUUAAAGGAGAAAUGAGUUUCCACACUAGAACAGAAAUCUGCAAUUAGGCUGUCACAAAAUUAGAGAAAUACUUAUAAAUCGUAUGUUUAUAAAGCAUGUUUAUUGCACCACAUUUUUUUUGUUUUAGAAAAUAGAAGGGUUUUUUUUUUCAUAAAAAAAUGUUAUUUCUUUAAACGUGUCGGGGGUUCAUAACAAGUUUUGUGGCUUAAACUUUGUAACUUUAAUGUAGCACCCAUUUAUUGCCCCACAGUUCUAUAGGUGAGAAAUUUAACAUAGCAUGGCUAGAUUAUCUGAUCAGGGCCUCACAAAGCUGACAUCAAGGUGUCAGCUGACAGCACUUUGAUCUGGAGCUUGGGGUCCUCCUCUAAAGAGAUUUUUAUUGUUGGAAGAAUUCAGUUCCUUGUGGUUACAGGUCUUGCUAACAUGUUAGCCAGAGACAAUAUCCAACUCCUAGAGGCCGCUCUCAAGUCCUAAGCCAGGGUCCCUCCACUGCAGCCGUGAAGAAUCUCUCAUGUUUCCACAACCUCUCUUCCUCUUUCUCCACCCGCUGGAGAAAACUGCUUUGAAAGGGUUCACGUGGUUAUGUUAGGCCCUUCCAAUAAUCUCCCUUUCUGAAAGUUACAUAAUCUAAUCACAGGAGUAAACGCUAUCCUAGCACAGUUGAGGGGAUGAGAGUGGGAAAUCUUGGGAACCAUUUAAGAAAUAUAUACAUGAUUUAUAUUUGUAUUUAUGGUACAUUAAAUAUGCAAUAUUUUUCUACACAAGAACUACACAUGCAGCAUAUCCUUCUCUUCCAUGCACUCCUCUGCCCCUGUCCCCUCGGUUGCAGAGAUGUGAUCAGUACUUGGUACCUGAGAGUGGCUGGAGAAGCCAGCCACUGUCAACACGAUGCAAUUAAUGUCUUCUUAAAGUCAGUGACUAUUGAACAUAAAGGCUCUAACAGGACCACAAGUCUCCCUUCUGUGUAAUGGAUAUACAGAUACAUGGCUUCCUGGAAUUGAAUCUGUCAUCUGGUACUGUCCCCUGGUCUCUGGGGAGGCAUCUCUGAGAGGGGUGCUUGAUGAAAGGGCACUGGCUGGGGGACUGGGAGCACCAGGCUCCCAACUGGGAACACUGGCUAUGUCUAUGGUCUUCGUCCAAUAAUAACAGUAAUAGCUUUGUUGAGUAUUGUUUAGACCAGACUUUGUGCUUAAAGUUUAUAAAGAUUUUUAUCUUAGAAAAGAGACCUCAUUGUCCAUGCCAAACCUGCAAGUGCUGUUUACAUGACAUAAGGAAUGAUAGACAGCUAGGUAUGGAGGGUCAUGGGCUUAGGGUCUGUGAGAGUCAGUCUCUAUUUCCAGAAGAGCCUAGAAUGCAGCCAGUAAUUGCUCUCUACUGCUCUAAUGGCAUUUAUAACACAGGGCCAGAGGAGAGCAAUAUGCAUCAGAAGUCUAUGGGCAACUUUUGGCCACAUAGAGGACCAGAGACACUUAGAGGCCUGAGGGAAGUUUGCUAAAGUCUCUACAGUGAAGGAAAAUUUGUGCACUGAUAGGAGUGCCUAUUAUAUUGCAGUUUGCUGUAAGGGGCCACAUUAAAAGAGGGAUGGUUUGUGAGUAACAACAGAAAUGGGCUUAAGGCAAAUUUGUAAAGGCAUCAGAACCCAAAAGGCUUAAUAGAUAUUGGACUUGCUUUAAUGGUGUGAGUGCUGAAAGGGUCAAUAGCUGUUUCUUGACAGUGUUGGGAAUAGAGCAACACUUGCGUUCCCAAAUAUAAUUUUUAGGAACUUAACCAAGGUGGCAGGGUCUUUUACUGUGUGGGAGUGAUAGCCCAUCUCUUUGUGAGCUCCCUUGUCAGGAUUUGUAGGUCCUGAAUGAGUAUAUCAAAUGAUUUAGCAACCUCACUUAUGGGUAUAUCUCCAAAAGCAUUGGAAUUAGGACCUCAAAGAGAUAUUGGCACCUGUAUAUUCACUGCAGUGUGAUUCAUACAACCCAAAUAUCCAUCAGCAGGUGGGUAGAUAAGGGAAAUGUGGUAUAUGCAUAACAGUGGAAUAUUAUGCAGCCUUUAAAAGGAUGAACUCUUAUUUGUGAUAACAUGGAUACACUUUUAAGACAUUAUGCUCGGUGAAAUAAGCCAGUCACAGAAUAACAAAUAUGGCAUGAUUUUGCAUAGGCAGUACCUAAAAUAGGCAAAAGUAUAGAAGUAGACAAUAUAGUAUUGGUUAUCAGGGGUUAGGGGUCAAGGAAUAUGGAAUAUUUAAUGGAUACAGAGCUACACAAGAUGAGUAUGUUACAGAGAUCUGCCAUAAAGCAGAGUGCCUAUAGUUAACAAUAAGGUAUUGUGUACUGAAAACUUAAGAAGGUACAUCUCCUAUUCAGCAUUCUUACCAUGCACACAUGGAUGCACACAUAACACACACACACACACACACACACA